rnacentral:rRNA from 1 species
CAGCCGCCGCGGUAAUGCGUAGGGUGCAAGCGUUAAUCGGAAUUACUGGGCGUAAAGCGUGCGCAGGCGGUUAUAUAAGUCAGAUGUGAAAUCCCUGGGCUCAACCUGGGAACUGCAUUUGAGACUGUAUGGCUAGAGUGUGUCAGAGGGGGGUAGAAUUCCACGUGUAGCAGUGAAAUGCGUAGAUAUGUGGAGGAAUACCGAUGGCGGAGGCAGCCCCCUGGGAUAACACUGACGCUCAUGCACGAAAGCGUGGGGAGCAAACAGGAUUAGAUACCCCCGUAGUCCCUGUCUCUUAUAU